GGCUGGUCCAAGUGCAGUGGUGUUUACAACUAAUUGAUCACAACCAGUUACAGAUUUCUUUGUUUCUUCUCCACUCCCACUGCUUCACAUAACCAGCCUUAA
rnacentral:Y_RNA from 1 species